UGGGGAAUAUUGCGCAAUGGGGGAAACCCUGACGCAGCAACGCCGCGUUCGGGAUGAAGGCCUUCGGGUUGUAAACCGCUUUCAGCAGGGAAGACAUCGACGGUACCUGCAGAAGAAGCCCCGGCUAACUACGUGCCAGCAGCCGCGGUAAUACGUAGGGGGCGGGCGUUAUCCGGAUUCAUUGGGCGUAAAGCGCGCGCAGGCGGUUGCUCAAGCGGAACCUCUAAUCUCGGGGCUUAACCUCGAGCCGGGUUCCGAACUGGACGACUCGAGUGCGGUAGAGGCAGAUGGAAUUCCCGGUGUAGCGGUGAAAUGCGCAGAUAUCGGGAAGAACACCAACGGCGAAGGCAGUCUGCUGGGCCGUCACUGACUCUGAGGCGCGAAAGCUGGGGGAGCGAACAGG
rnacentral:rRNA from 1 species